CUAAGAGCUCCUAGUGGGUUAAGGUAUGAGUUAGUAAGGCUAACUUAAGCAAAUAGGUAUGUAGCAGCACAUGAGAACACACGUUCCUGCAGGACAACAUCAAGAAAUGAAGAUAUUUGCCACCAGCUGAGAAUGGAAAUGAAGUAAAGGAAAGAGAACAAGAAACUAGAUGAGCACUGUUACUGAACAUGGGGACACCUCACAGAGUGCCAGCUGGAGCUGCCUACAUGGAUGCUCCAUGGGCCAUGGGAGAGCAGCUAAUGUGGAGUAGAGUUGUAUUGGGAUCAAGGUCCAGGAUGGGGCAAGUAAGGAAGAGGCUAUCUUAUUCGCAGUACUCAUCGGAAAGCACAGCUUUCAACAGCAUGCAAUUCCCCAGAGACAAAGCCUGAUUUUUAGGAGGAAAAGUAAAAUGUUUUUAGGAGGAGUGUGUAGAAAAGGAAUGUCUUUGUUAUCCACAGUGCCUUUAUUCCUACUGACCUUUUCCACUGGGAGAGAGACACCAGAAAACAGGACUAGUAUUGUGAAAGGCUGAAAUUGUAUCACUGAUCACCAGUCUGCAAUAAGGUGCUGAGUAUGUUUCUAAACUACCUCUGCAACUUUUCACUUUAUAACGAGAACUAACUCUACUAGGGAAGUUGGCAGAUUCCACGCAGCUAACAAAUAAGACAGGAGCAAGCUCAAUAUGCCAUUAGGAAGGUUUCCCCCCUUCUCCUUCCCUGACUUCUAGAAUUACAACCUCCUUUUUUUUUUUUUUUUUAACUGUCUUCUGUCUGUGAAACGUGUUCUCAAUGCAAUCAAAAUGUAUGUCU